UCAAGGACUGGGAAUCAUGCAUUCACUAAAGAAGCAUCUACAAAGAUAAUAGGAUUCAGAUUUCUGUUUAUAGACCACAAAUUCUGAGCACAGCAUUCUCCAUGAUGUGCUCAAGGCCCGGCAUGGGAGGCUUCAUCUGUGCAUACGAGUCUUCUGCUUUACCAAAAUGUAGGAAUGAUCAUUAUCCCUUCAUGCCUAUUCAAGUGCUGGCUCGAUUGGAUAAUUCGAUACUUAGGAUUCAUUUCAAGUCCCCAUUGCUGUCUGUGUUGACUUGAGAAUGCUGUAAGCAUCUACUGUAAUCGUCUAGAAUUAAGGGUGAUAGUGUGUUUCCAAGGAGAAAUGUUUCUGAUGAAUUCACUGUAGACCUUUCAUUACUGCCACAGUGUAAUUUUCAAAAAGGUAAAUGCAAGUUUCUCAUAUAAGUAUAAAAUGAACACAUGACAGAUUUUAUUUAGCAUAUUAGUUAAUUGGGGAACUUAUAAGAUAUUAAAACCAGCACAUUUUUAUUUAUGUAUGUAUGUAUGUACUUAUCUAUCUGCAGUAGAGUCAACGUACAAUGUUACACUGGUCUCAGGUGCACAACAUAGUGAAACCAACACAUUUCAAGUGCUCUGUGUCCACAUGUGGCUUGUAGCAAUCAUAUUGGACAGUGCAGAUAAAGAACAUUCCCAUCACUACAGAUGAUUCUUUUGGAGAUCAUUGCUUUAGAUAAUAGUAAGUU